GAUGAACGCUAGCGGCAGGCUUAAUACAUGCAAGUCGAGGGGUAGCAAGAUUGUAGCAAUACAAUUGUUGACGACCGGCAAACGGGUGCGGAACACGUACACAACCUUCCUACAAGUGGGGAAUAGCCCAGAGAAAUUUGGAUUAAUACCCCGUAACAUAGCGAUGUGGCAUCACAUUGCUAUCAUAGCUUCGGCGCUUGUUGAUGGGUGUGCGGCUGAUUAGAUAGUUGGCGGGGUAACGGCCCACCAAGUCUACGAUCAGUAGCUGAUGUGAGAGCAUGAUCAGCCACACGGGCACUGAGACACGGGCCGGACUCCUACGGGAGGCAGCAGUAAGGAAUAUUGGACAAUGGACGCAAGUCUGAUCCAGCCAUGCCGCGUGAAGGAUUAAGGUCCUCUGGAUUGUAAACUUCUUUUAUAAGGGACGAAAAAAGGUCUUUCUAGAUCGUCUGACGGUACCUUAUGAAUAAGCACCGGCUAACUCCGUGCCAGCCGCCGCCGUAAGAC
rnacentral:rRNA from 1 species